UACCGGGGGGGCAAGCGUUGUUCGGAAUUACUGGGCGUAAAGGGCCAGUAGGCGGCCAACUAAGUCACACGUGAAAUCCCCAGGCUUAACCUGGGAACUGCGUGUGAUACUGGAUGGCUUGAAUUCGGGAGAGGGAUGCAGAAUUCCAGGUGUAGCGGUGAAAUGCGUAGAUAUCUGGAGGAAUACCGGUGGCGAAGGCGGCAUCCUGGACCGAGAUUGACGCUGAACGGCGAAAGCUAGGGGAGCAAACGGG
rnacentral:rRNA from 1 species